rnacentral:tRNA from 1 species
GGGGGUGUGGCUCAGUGGUAGACCACUUGCCUAGCCUGCAAGGCCUGGGUUCAGUGCCCAGCACCACCA